GUGAUCUAGCCAUGAGCAGGUUGAAGUUGAGGUGAAACUCAAUGGAGGACCGAACCGACUACCGUUGAAAAGUUAGCGGAUGACUUGUGGCUAGGGGAGAAAUUCCAAUCGAACCCGGAGAUAGCUGGUUCUCCCCGAAAUAGCUUUAGGGCUAGCGUCGGAAAGAACCUUAGUGAAGGUAGAGCACUGAAUGUGUGAUGGCCCCAUCCCGGGGUACUGAAUACAAUCAAACUGCGAAUGUCAUUAAGGAUGUCCGGCAGUCAGACUGUGAGUGAUAAGGUCCAUGGUCAAGAGGGAAACAGCCCAGACCGCCAGUUAAGGUCCCAAAAUACAGGCUAAGUGGAAAAGGAUGUGGGGAUGCCCAGACAACUAGGAGGUUGGCUCAGAAGCAGCCAUCCUUUAAAGAGUGCGUAACAGCUCACUAGUCGAGUGACCCUGCGCCGAAAAUGUACCGGGGCUAAGCCUGAUACCGAAACUGCGGAUUGUAGGAAACUAUAGUGGUAGGGGAGCGUUGUAUACGAGCAGAAGCCGUACCGUGAGGAGCGGUGGAUUGUAUAGAAGUGAGAAUGCCGGUGUGAGUAGCGAGAUGUAGGUGAGAAUCCUACACACCGAAAGCCCAAGGAUUCCAGGGGAAGGUUCGUCCGCCCUGGGUAAGUCGGGACCUAACGCGAGGCCGAAAGGCGUAGUGGAUGGAAAGCAGGCGAAAGAUUCCUGCACCCGUAUAUGGAGCGAAGGAGUGACGGAGACGGAUAGUGUGACCCUCUUAAUGGAUUGAGGGCGAAGCGAAGCGGCUGGUUACCAGGCAAAUCCGGUAACCAAAAGGCUAGAGCGUGACAGGUAAGCGAAAUCUUAGGAAAGUAGCGAAGCACAUGAUGACGGCUUCCAGGAAAAGCUUCUGGCAAUGCAUAUGCGGCCCGUACCGAAAACCGACACAGGUGGGCAGGGAGAGAAUCCCGAGGUGAGCGAGAGAACUGUUGCCAAGGAACUCGGCAAAAUGACUCCGUAAGUUAGCGAGAAGGAGUGCUUAAGCAAUUAAGCCGCAGUGAAGAGGCCCAAGCGACUGUUUAACUAAAACACAGCUCUCUGCGAAGUCGCAAGACGAAGUAUAGGGGGUGACACCUGCCCGGUGCUGGAAGGUUAAGAGGAUCUGUUAAGAGCGAUCUGAAGCAGUGAUCCGAAGCCCCAGUGAACGGCGGCCGUAACUAUAACGGUCCUAAGGUAGCGAAAUUCCUUGUCAGGUAAGUUCUGACCCGCACGAAAGGUGUAACGAUUUGGGCGCUGUCUCGGCAGCAGACUCGGUGAAAUCUUAGUACCUGUGAAAAUGCAGGUUACCCGCAACUAGACGGAAAGACCCCAUGGAGCUUUACUGCAGCCUGAUAUUGAAUUCUGGUCAUACAUGUACAGGAUAGGUGGGAGACAAAGAGACGUGCACGCCAGUGUACGAGGAGUCGACGUUGGGAUACCACUCUUGUGUGACCGGGGUUCUAACCUGGUAUCGAGAACAGGUACGGGGAGAGUGUCAGGUGGGCAGUUUGACUGGGGCGGUCGCCUCCCAAAGAGUAACGGAGGCGCCCAAAGGUACGCUCAGAUUGGAUGGAAACCAAUCGUCGAGUGCAAUUGCAGAAGCGUGCUUGACUGUGAGACAAACAAGUCGAACAGGGACGAAAGUCGGGAAUAGUGAUCCGGCGGUGCCGAAUGGAAGGGCCGUCGCUCAACGGAUAAAAGCUACCCUGGGGA
rnacentral:rRNA from 1 species